AACGAACGCUGGCGGCAUGCCUAACACAUGCAAGUCGAACGAGACCUUCGGGUCUAGUGGCGCACGGGUGCGUAACGCGUGGGAACCUGCCCUUAGGUUCGGAAUAACUCCCUGAAAGAGGUGCUAAUACCGGUUAAUGUCUUCGGACCAAAGAUUUAUCGCCUUUGGAUGGGCCCGCGUUGGAUUAGCUAGUCGGUAGGGUAAAAGCCUACCAAGGCCACGAUCCAUAGCUGGUCUGUGAGGAUGAUCUGCCACACUGGGACUGAGACACGGCCCAGACUCCUACGGGAGGCAGCAGUGGGGAAUAUUGGACAAUGGGCGAAAGCCUGAUCCAGCAAUGCCGCGUGAGUGAUGAAGGCCUUAGGGUUGUAAAGCUCUUUUACCCGGGAUGAUAAUGACAGUACCGGGAGAAUAAGCUCCGGCUAACUACGUG
rnacentral:rRNA from 1 species